rnacentral:lncRNA from 1 species
CGAAGAGUGGCGGAGGAGAGGCGGCGGGUGUUGUUCGCGAGAAGACGGAAAGAGACGAGUGCUAUCUGCUGUGCGUGAAUGGCUACUUAUGCCUUUGCAAUUUGAGUGACGUCACUCAGCGCGUGAAUUGCUGUGUGAAUUACUGCGCGAGUAAGUGUGGUGGCGGAAAUGAUUGUGGAGAUGUUCCGAAAAAGCCUAAUUGCUAAUUUGAAUACAUUUUGUCAAUUAAUAAUUAUUAGUGAAUUUAUAUUCUACUAAUUAUAAUAACCUAUAAUUUAGAACACAAUCCCCGAUUAUAAUUUGUUCGAUUUUCGCAAGGUUGGUCGUGAUUAAUUAAAUAAAUAUUGGAC